CAGGAUUAGAUACCCUGGUAGUCCACGCUGUAAACGAUGAGUGCUAAAUGUGAGGAUUUUAUCUUUGUAUUGUAGCUAACGCGUUAAGCACUCCGCCUGGGGACUACGGUCGCAAGACUAAAACUCAAAGGGAUUGACGGGGACCCGCACAAGCGGUGGAGCAUGUGGUUUAGUUCGAUGCAACGCGAAAAACCUUACCACUUUUUGACAUGAAGGUCGUAUCCCUCCUAACAGGGGGAGUCAGUUCGGCUGGACCUUACACAGGUGCUGCAUGGCUGUCGUCAGCUCGUGUCGUGAGAUGUUGGGUUAAGUCCCGCAACGAGCGCAACCCUCAUUCUUAGUUACCAACAGGUAAUGCUGGGCACUCUAAGGAAACUGCCAGUGAUAAACUGGAGGAAGGUGGGGAUGAUGUCAAGUCAGCACGGCCCUUAUAAGGUGGGCUACACACGUGCUACAAUGGCAACUACAAUAGGUCGCGAGAUCGCAAGAUUUAGCUAAUCCAUAAAAGUUGUCUCAGUUCGGAUUGUUCUCUGCAACUCGAGAGCAUGAAGUCGGAAUCGCUAGUAACCGUGGAUCAUCAUGCCACGGUGAACACGUUCUCGGGUCUUGUACACACUGCCCGUCACGCCAUGGGAAUUGGCUU
rnacentral:rRNA from 1 species